rnacentral:lncRNA from 1 species
CAUACUUUCGAAACAAGUCACUCAUGCCAUGUACCAGCCAUUCUGGAAGGGCUUGCCAAGGCUAGAAACAAGGCAUUACCUGUCUCUCUAUCAGGAACGCGAUUCACAGAACGAGACUCUCCUGAAUUUCGCAAAGCUGGAUUUCAAUCUACUGCAACAAGUUCAUCAAAGAGAACUAAGUGAAAUUUCAAGGUUAAUGUAUUAUAUAUUGUCAAUCAGUUUUAAUCUCCUAUUUACAUUAGCAUAAUGUAAUUAAUUCAUGCAGGUGGUGGAAGGACUUAGACUUUGUAAACAAGCUACCUUUUGCAAGAGACAGAGUAGUUGAGAGCUACUUUUGGGCAUCGGGAGUACACUUUGAGCCUCAAUAUUACUUUGCUAGGAUAACACUAUGCAAAGUUAUUGCUUUGAUAACCAUCCUUAAUGACAUCUAUGAUGUGUACGGCACACAUGAGGAACUAGAGCUCUUUACUGAAGCUGUUGAAAGGUUCAAAAUAAUAGCCUUUAUUUUGUUAGUAUUAGUAUUUUGAAAAGAUAAAAACCUCUGUGAUUGAGGAAAUUUUACAGAUGACACUCCAAAAGGGUCAUCAUGCACUCAUCCAAAAUAAUUAUGAAAAGACAACUUUUUUUGAGUAUCUGAAUAUCAUCUUAUCAUCUUAUAUUAUCUUUAUUUAUUUGGUGGGACAUCUCUAUCAUAAAUAAAGACAUGCAUAGUCUCAUAUCAUCUUAUAUUAUCUUUAUUUGUAUGAUAAGGUGGGACAUCUCUGCUAUGGAUCAUCUGCCAGAGUACAUGAAAGUUUGCUAUCAAGCACUAUUGGAUGUUUACGUUGAAAUUGAAGAAAAUCUUGCAAAUGAGGGAAACUUAUAUAGCAUCCACUACGCAAGAGAAGCAGUGAGCCUCAUGAAUUAAUAAUUUCGUGCCCAUAAUAUUAUGCCAUUACCAAUUAAAGUUUUUUUUUAAUUAUUAAUAAAUAUAAAUAUUUUUUUUAAAAAAAUAUUAGUAAGUCAAUCUAAAUGCAAUAAAUAUGUUCAUUUCAUAAUAUAUUUUUUUAACUAAGGGCAUUUUUUGAUAUUUUGAAUAUUUUAUCAUUCUCUAUCUUUCUCUUUUUAUAAAUAGAUUAUAUAUAUUGGGUAAACAACUUUUUUUUUUUGGUCAUUGGUUUUGCAUGAAAUUUCAAUUUGGUCACUGGGCUUAAACUUUUUUUAUUUUUUAUAUAAUGAUGAAAUUGAAUUUUUGUGUAAAACUCAGUGAAUAAAAAUGUUUUUUCCCCUACUUUUUGUUUGUGUGAUGAAAUUAUAGAGAGAUUAGAGAUUAAUUACAUGGUUUGGUCUUUCAGAUAAAGUCCUAGUUAGAGCUUACUUCCGAAAAGCCAAAUGGUUCCAUCAGAAAUACACACCAACAAUGGAUGACUACAUGUCGGCAGCGCUUAAUGCAUCCAACUUCACGUUGGCAACCACAUCCUUUGUUGGAAUGGGAGAUAUUGCUACCAAAUACUCCAUGGAUUGGGUGUUCGACGACCCUAAGAUGGUAAAGGCUGCAUCAUUAAUUGGUAGAAUCAUGAAUGACAUGAAAUCCCGCCAGGUACUUUUAUAUAUCAAAAGUACCAAGUAAAAUAACAGUAGUUUAUUUGAAUUAUAGAGAACUGGAGAUAGAUCUCAAAACCAAACUUUUUAACUUCAGGUAGAUCCAAAAAUUCAACCAAAAGUUGGGUUUAGUUCACACAUUUGUUGUUGUUGAUCUAAGUCUUUUGCCUCGUACAUGUAUAAGAUAAGAUUACUUUUUAAAAAAAAUUCUAAUCUAGACAUUUUGUUUUUUUCGUUUCUUAAUUAUUUGAAUUGUCCCCAUAACCUACCCCUUUCAAGCCUUAACCUUCAUGUCUAUAUUCAUGCAGUUUGAGCAAAAGAGAGGACAUGUUGCCUCAGCUGUGGAAUGCUACAUGAAAGAAUAUGGUGCCACAGAAGAAGAAGCAAAUAUCGAACUAAGCAAGCAAGUGAAUAAUGCAUGGAAGGACAUAAACGAAACGUGCAUCCAGAACACCACCAUCCCCAUGCCCCUGUUACUGCGAAUUUUGAAUCUUGCACGUGUGGUUGAAGUUUUAUACAAGCAUGGUGAUGGCUUUACUCAUGCUGGAAUUUUUCUCAAGGAUUCUGAAGUUUCUCUGUUUGUAGAACCUGUGCCCCUGUAGGCCUAGAAUUUGAACUUGUCCUCUGUUGGAGCAUAAAAUUUCUGGUCCUCCAACAAGUAAUCUUAUGUCCAUGUUGAGAAGCCGAUCACCGUACUUCGCUUGCCACAAAUGAGAGAGAAGGGAGUACCUGCAAGAGAACACGCAGAUGCCCAAAUCAGUGUUUGUUUAUAAAUAUCAUAGUAGUAUCAGAAUAUCCCUUACCCAAGUCCUGUAGUAAAAUAAGGAGCCAGUCUUCCAUGAUUGGAACCAUUGUUUGAAUUAAUUAUUAGUUUGGUGUUUCUGUUUGCUCUUGAUGCUAUGAAUGAAAUAAAAUUUGUUUAACCUUUUAGCAUAUACUUGUAAUGGGAGUUGUAGGGAGGGACUUGUAGUGGAAGUUCCAUUGUAAGCCAAAUUAAUUACCAAAUUAGUUAGUAGAGUGAGAAUCUGGUUGUAUUUAUUAUAUCAUUAAGAGGUAAAUAGCUUAGUUGAUACACAGUUCUUUACAUGGGCCCGGAUCCACUGCAAUUCUUCUCUUUGAUAAACUUGGUCACGUAUCUCUUGCAUGAGUUUCCCAAUUGACUCAUGUUCCAUACCUAUACAAUUUAUGAAGGUAUGGUAAAAAUACCCAUUUUCUCUUUCGUGGUCAUAGACUCAUAGGCUUUAUCUAAGCAUCAAGCGUCACCAACCAUUGACAAAACCACAUACAAAAUAAAGUAAAUUUAGAUUUUAAUCACAAAAAAAAACUUUUAUUUUUGGAAAAAGUCAAAACUUUUUCAAAAAAGACAGAAAAACCUCUCAACUUUUAAAUCAAAAACAUGCAAAUGUAAAUAAUUCCUUAGAAAAUCCAAAAAUAAAUAAGGGUCAUUUUGUCCAUUCUGGCUUCUUUUAAAAAAUUUCUCUCCUCUGGCCUUUUAAGACACAUGUAUAUAGUAUAAUACAUGGGAGAGGGGUGAGGGGUUGGGGAGUUGGGUGCUGCGGGAUGGUGUUAUAGGGAGAGGUGGUUGUGUGCCACGGCAACAAUUUAAUAGGCUUUUUAAUGGAAUCGAACAACAUGGAACUUGAAGUACGAAUUUGUAGGACUAUUCUUGAUUAAAAAAAGCCUCAACGACGAAAGAUAGUUCGUGAAUAUAAUGGAUGUUUUGUGAUAAAAACCUAGCAUAAUAAGUACAUAAGAGAGGUCACAAGGUCUCAAGGAUCAUGCAUUCAAAAAAAAACUCGAAUUCUAAAUCAUUUAACCACUAAUUUAAUAAUUGUCAUUUUAAUAUUUUCUUUAUAAAGAGAAAAGGUCGUACAUGAAAUGAAAAGAAAAUAAGUCAAAGAACAAAAAAGGUGUUAUAAAAAUAACCUGGAAUAUGUAUGAAUAUUGAGCUGCACGUAAAGUAGAUGAGACACAGCAUUUAACGAGGUUCGGCUAUGCCCACGUCCUCGGAGAGCAGCAGCAGUAACUUUUUCACUAUAUAAAGUAAUAGGGCUACAACUUUAGAGUUUACAAUAUGUGAGGCUCACUGAAUUUUCUCUCUCUUUCCUCUUCUAUCUUUCCUCCUCUUUUUCCUCUUCUUUCCUCUUCUCCUUUUCCUUUCUUCUUUUCUCCUCUCUUUUCUCUUCUCCCCUUUCUUUCUUUUCUCCAUUGGUCACUCUUCCCAUUGCAAGUGAUAUGCCUAUUUAUAGGCUAAGGUUUUGGUAAAAUACAGGGAAGGGAAGGUUCCUGGAAGAUGCAAGGAAACUUCCUGAAUUGAUAAAUACAGGGAAGGAAAGUUCCUGGAAGAUGCAAGGAAACUUCCUCUGUGGGCUCCACCUUCAAACUUUUACAACACUCCCCUUUGGAGACCACAAAUGAUAUGGAAUAUGCCUCGUUAAAAACCUUGCCAGUAAAAACCUAGUAGGACAAAAACUGGUCGAAGGGAAAAAGAGUACAUAAUCACGUGUAACAUAAAAUUCUGUGUAUAUUGACGCGCGUGCGACACUGCCUCGUUAAAACCUUGCCAGGGAAAACCCAGUGGGAUAAAAACCUGGACGAAGGAAAAAGAGUACAGUGUGUAAGGGUCUGUAUUGACAGCACGCUCCCCCUGAUGCUUGGCAAAAUAUCUUUAAGCCAUACUGUUGAUCAUCUGUCUGAAUAUCAUAGUUGACACUGCUGCUGUGAGUCAAUAGUGUAUGAAGGUCUUUAUUAAUACCAUGCUCCCCCUGAUGAAUAUCUCCCCCUGAAAACUUCAUGACUAGCUUUUUCCAGUAAGCGACCAUAGAGAUUUCCUGAGUCCGCAUAUCUUAGAACAUUUGGGCUAUUUAUAAGUUCACUAAAAAAUAUGCCCGUAUAUGGUGUUAUGCUUAGAUAGCAUCAAAUAUGCCUCACAUCAUCCCAAAAUGAUGGUGAUGGAGUUGAGCCCUAUCUGGAAAAUAUGAUGUCCGGUCCAAUAUACUUCCGGAAAAUCAUUAAAGUGUCCAACGGAUAAUCCUCAUAAAAAUACUUUAAUACUUUCUUAGUAUAAGCAAGAAUUUCAUUGGCAUAAUGCUCGAUCGAGACAAAUAUUUCAUGAAUUCUGCAGAAGCUUUAAUGUGUUGCAAUCACAUUAUAAUCAAUGUACUCACUGAGGUAAUUUAUGCAUAUUAAUAUUGAGUACAAAUUUUGUGCUUCAAGCACAUGUCCUUUAGGGACUUGCUCUAUGCAAUAUCAAUCCUCUCAACGGAUUUUGGUUAAAAGGGAUUAAACUUUAUGACACAUUAUAUAGCUUUUACCUAGCUAUUUAUACAUCUUUAGGAAAUCGCUUCUGGCGAUAUGCUCUGUGCAUUAAUAACCUUUAAAGAUAAUAUGUUGGUCUCCGUAAUUGUGUAAUAAGGGGGGGCACAAUUGAAUCUGUAAAUAUGGAGAAAACCCAACAUUCCUUGUUUCUGCCAGAAACAGUGUGUCAUACAAAGUAGGUAUAUUCCCUUUUAUUCCGAACACCCAAGUAUAACUUUCAGUAUUAACAAAUUUUGGGGUUCGUAUUGUGGGUUUGUUCUUUCACGUUCAUUCUCAUUUAUAAUGGAAUUACCUCGUUCCAUUUUUGGCCAAUGAUAUUGUCGACAUUUAAUAAUUGAACGUGGUUCCAAUCAACACAGCCCAUUGAUGAUUUGAGUAGCUACUCCAAAACCAAAAAUUGUCAUUCAUUAAUUCAUGAUCCCACCAUUCUCAUGUGCAUGCGCAUGCAUCAAUUAUAAACAUUUCUUUGCUUUUGGGUACCCAAGCCACUUCAUGGGGCUUUUAUUAUGUGAGAAUGUGGAUUAUAACCUCCAAUUAAUGGAGCGUUAUUUUACAGUAGGGCGUGGAUAAUCUCUAUUUAGAGAGUUGGAACAUUUAGAACCCAUAUAUCUGUCAUGUUGCAGGCAUGCCACAGAUUAAUACAUACAUGUCAAUUAAUUUUUGGGACUUUAACCCAUAUGAUGGGACUUUAACCCAUAUAAUUUGCUACGCAUUAGGCGUGCAUAAUAUCAAUAUUGACAUGUCAAAGGAUUGUCCUUUCGGGACUUCAAUCCAUAUCAUUUGCUACGCAAUAGGCGUGCAUCAUAUUGAUCACUGCUAUACCCAUAUUCUGUUCUUAUGGGACUUUAAUCUGUGCAGUGUAUUAUCAAUGUAUCCAACUUGCAAUCUGUAAAAUUUGCGUUAAUAAUUCAUGGAUACAUACAAGCCAUUCUUUUGGAACGGACUUAUCUCCCCAUUUGGUUACCUUUCAAGAUAAAAUAUCAAAUAGGUAUAUAAGCAUAAAAUAACACAAGUAUUGCUUACAUCCUUAGGUGGGAGAAACUUUUCUCAAGUAUCAUUCAAGCUCAUAUCAGCCUAGUAAAUAUAAUGUAGCGCUUGAUGGUCUAGUUAUAUCCUGCAAGAGCAAAAAUCACAAUUCUCUUCUCUGUCAAAAACAAAUAACUCUCAGAGUUAGGAUCACUACAUGGAUUCAUUCUUCAGAUGUUCAUUCUAAAGAAAUAAAAUCUCUUACGAACAGAGAGUUAUAAAAAGAGAAAAAAUGCAAAAAGAUUGUGAUAUUGAUUGCAAGGUAAGGUAAGCAAUCAAGGAAGGAAGCUGGUGGGAGCAAACAACAAGCUCUCAUUUCUCCUAGUCUAGAAAGACCUCAGGAGAUUGGAGCAUAAGGUCACCUUCACAGUUCCCUAAUGUAGCGGAAACAUGAUCAGGGAUAGUCUUGCUUCCUGAAUGUAUGAUCAGAGAUAGUCUUGCUUCUUAGGCAUAUUAAGUGCUCACUGAUAAGAAAAACAAGUAGAUAUCGCAUCACUAGGUAUGGAGAAAACUGGAUGUCUUUUGCAAAGAAAAUUUCGUUAGUAACACAUUUAUACACAAAUACAAUGAAUAGGUAGAACUGGUGAAUUUCAAAUUAACCAUAGGAAAAUUGCGAGAUUCUCGGGAUACUUUUGAAAAAGUAGUUCCGUGAAAUCCGUAAAGCAAGAUCGGCUUUGAAAAUAAUACUUUGAAAAACGCCGAAAGUGCCGACAGGCAUUAUUAGAGGCCACGUGAAGUUUUGGACUCUGGGAAAGAAAAAGAUAAUAUGGGGAUUCGAGAAGAUAUUGGGGUCUUGAAAAGUUGCCACAUUUUCAUCUAUAGAUAUUGCCUUUGCAAACUGCGUUUCAACUCAAUUUCCUUCAUUUUCCGAACCUUUAGUUUUUCUAAGACUUUCUUCGAAACCUUCUUAAAAAAAAUGGCUUCCUCUUCUUCCUGCCCAAAUUAUUUCAAUUUAAAUGAUGCUCCCACAACAACCAGUGACGCCCAAGUUUGGCGUCCAUCCUUUGUAUCCAAAAAUCGUCAUCUCACAGUUAAUGAUUCUGUGAUGAUGAAUGAUGUUACUGCUGUCAUAGUAGCUAGGAAUUUCAUUAUUCCGAUGGAUGAAAUGAUGUUGACAGGGAGAUCAGAGGAAGAGGAUAUUGAUGACUCAAUGGCUUUUAGCAUUCAGAGUGCUGUUUCUGUUUCUAACAUGGCUGAUCGUUUGCGUGCCAGAGCAAACGAGGUUGAGAGGUUAGCUACUGAAAAUUCGUCUCUCCAAAGAAUGCUUCAUGAGUCUCAACAGGAGGUUGAGAAAUUUAAAGGAGAGAAUAAUGCCUUGUUGAAACUGGUGAGUUCGUACUCUGUUGAUACACUGAGAAGGCUAGACAUGCUGCAGGUCUCCAAUGAAAGAAUUUUGGGAGACCACGAGAAGCUCAUGGCUAAGCUUAAGAGGCGCCGUCAUCUUCCUGCAGAGCCUUCCAGAACAUAAUGUAAUUUUUUUUUUAUAGAUUUCACAGGGCCUGCACCUUCAUUGCAGGUGAAAAAAUCUAUCUGUUAUAUGUUCCUGUUAUAAUAAUUGUGCAUAUUCUUAAACUUGCACCUGUGGUUUUUACGUCUUUUCAAAAUGACGAUUUGGAACCUUGUGCCUUAUAGGUUCAAAUAACCACAUCGACUCUCCCAAAUUUCAUAUUUCAACGUAUGGUAGCCCGGAACUUAUGGCCUGGGCACAAACUCAGAAUUUAUUUGCCCUUUCCAAAUGGACAUGAAAUAUGAAUUGAGUAAAAGCCAUGAAAUAUCGCAAUAUAGUAGUGAAGAGCAUUAACUACUAUAUACCCACAACUUCAAGUUUAGGAUCUCUCAUAUAUUUGGAUCCAUGGGCUUCCGGCCCAGAUAUAACAAAAUAUGUAGGGAGUCUCAAUUCAUUAUUUGAGGUUUAUAUUAAUAUUAUCCAUUUCGCGGUGUAUUCUUAACAACCGGAAUUCACAAAAUAUAUUUCUUCCUUGAGGUGUCGAUUAUAACAAAAUCGAACUUUAAAUUCAUCAUCUUCUUAUGCCAAAGAAAUAUGUGGCAUACCACAAUUUGCAAUAAUACCUCAAGGGUUGUCCAUUUAAUUGUUGGAACUUCAGGUUCUCAACACUGUUAAAUUUUGAACUUCAGGCCAAAGCCACAUAUUCUCAUGGUAUGGACAUUUUUACAAUUUUCUGUACAUAUUUCGGGAUUUCAAGCCCUUACAUAAUUGUCCAUAUUUUGAGGAACUUCUGGCAUCUCAUUUAAUUGCACAUCCAUGAGUUUAAGGGACUGCAGGUUCCCUUUUGUAUAUAGUGACGGUUUACCCAAAAUGGUUAAUAUUUAUGCAUACGUCACUAUUCAUGUGAAUAGUACUAUUCAUCAAGUCAUGAAUACAUAUCUAUUCAUCUGCCAGUACAGUUAUCAUCAAUGUGUACGGCACCAUGAACCAAUACGGUACUGUUACAUCAUUAAGGAACUCUAGGUCUUUAUUUACAUGUCGGGAUCAAGGACCUUUAAGUCCAAUCACAUGUUUACAAAUACAGUACCGGAGAGACUGCCAGCUCUCAUAUCAUCAUCAAGGAUCUUCAAGUCCUGAUGUAAUUGUAUGAUGAGGAUCAAGGAACUUCUGGUCCUGAUCUGCAUACUGGAAAAACUCAUCAUACAGCACAAUUAAUCCAUAAAAUAAAUUGCUAAUAAAUAAAUUACUGGUAUGGACGAUAAACCCGCACCACACUUUAAAUAAAUGUAAAUGUGCGGUAAAUUAAAUUCAUAAAAUUAAGGUGCUUGUAUGGGCAUUAAUUCUGCUCCAUAUAUUUAAAUAAAAGUAAAGGCGUGGACGAUAAACCCGCACCACCCUUUUAAAUAAAUGUAAAUGUGCGGUAAAUUAAAUUCAUAAAUUAAAUUGCUUGCUGUAUGGACGUUAAUCCCGCACCAUACUUUAAAUAAAAUUAAAUGUGCGGUAAAGUAAAUUGUGCUUUUAUGGGCACUAAUUCUGCUCCAUACAUUUAAAUAAAAGCAAAGGCGUGGACGAUAAACCCGCACCACCCUUUUAAAUAAAUACUGUUGUAUGGGUAAUAAACCUACACCAUACAGUAAAUAAAUGUGGGGUUAAAACCACCACCGAAUAAAAUAAGAAAAAGGUUAGUAUUAGUAACGGUCUCCCACUGAUAAUAUGUUUAGUAUUACCAAGGGUCCAUUUUUGUUAGUGGUUAGUAGUAUAGAUAAUAGUGCAACACAAAAAUUAUACCUGAGAGCUUCUCGUGCUGAUAACGUGUUAUAAAAAUAACCUGGAAUAUGUAUGAAUAUUGAGCUGCACGUAAAGUAGAUGAGACACAGCAUUUAACGAGGUUCGGCUAUGCCUACGUCCUCGGAGAGCAGCAGCAGUAACUUUUUCACUAUAUAAAGUAAUAGGGCUACAACUUUAGAGUUUACAAUAUGUGAGGCUCACUGAAUUUUCUCUCUCUUUCCUCUUCUAUCUUUCCUCCUCUUUUUCCUCUUCUUUCCUCUUCUCCUUUUCCUUUCUUCUUUUCUCCUCUCUUUUCUCUUCUCCCCUUUCUUUCUUUUCUCCAUUGGUCACUCUUCCCAUUGCAAGUGAUAUGCCUAUUUAUAGGCUAAGAUUUUGGUAAAAUACAGGGAAGGGAAGGGUGAUCACAUGUGCUCUCACCUUCCUGAAUUGAUAAAUACAGGCAAGGAAAGUCGGCUAAGUUUCCUAAAUACUUCCUGAAUUGAUAAAUACAGGGAAAGAAAGUUCCUGGAAGAUGCAAGGAAACUUCCUCUGUGGGCUCCACCUUCAAACUUUUACAACAAAAGGCCAUUAUUUCUGAUUGUAGUAGUAGCUUUACUGGUUUUUUUUUGUUUUUUUAUUUUUUAAUUUUUUAUAAACCUUUCGCUCUCAAAGGUUAAUCUUGCCAUUAUCACCUAUUUCUUAAAAAGUGAGUACCGGGCCUGGGGUAGAGCUCCAUUUUGAGGACUUUUGUAACUUGUCCGAAAGUUUUGUGACGCUGCUUUUGUACCUUUGUAUACGACAAUAUUGAAUUCUACUUUGUUUUUAUUUCUUUUAAGAAUGAAUUCCCAUCCUUUUCUUUAUUUAAAUAAUUACUUCCAACCAGCCCUCACACCACCAAAUCGACCCAACUACCCACAAUCUUAUCGUUUGAAGCAAAAAAAUUAAGGGAUAGUACUUUUUUGCUAUCUUCAAUCAAUAACACAAUGACAUGUGAAAAAAUUAUCCUACCUGUCAUUACGUUAUUGGUCCGAGAUAGCAAAACGUGCUAUCCCCGUUACAUGAAAGUUUCGCUCUGUUCGAAAGGCUCGACGACAACUUACAAGCAGGGACGAUCCCUAAAAGGGACUAACUUGGGCUAUAGCCCAGGUGAUUACUUAGACUGAGUUAUUCUUGAUUUGCAUGGAUGAAAGAGUUUUAUAUAUAUGAUGUAUUUUAUUUUGGUUUUCUAACUUUCCCGUAUAGAGCAGAUUUCACACACAUACCCCCACAAUGCAAAACAUAUAUGCUUACAAAUAAAUGUUUGAACUGGUAUUUCAAGUACAACACUUUUUGAACACACAACAGACAAAAAAACCUGCUAUGAAUUGAUAAAAUUGAUAUUGGACACACCUUCAGUGUAUGGUAGGAAAGACCAUAUAUUAUAAGGUUUUUACAAGUAAGAGAGGAGGAUUCAAACAUGAGACCACUAGUUAGCAAGUCAAGGUCUUUUUCUACUAGGCCAGCCCCUAUUGGCAUAUAAGUUUAUAAACUUAUAAAUGAAAAGUUGAAUAAGAGGGAAAUUAGGUACCUGAGGCAUGUAAGAGCAAACUUUCAAUGCCUGAUGAGGCAAAGUUUAGAGAGAAGAGAGAGCAUCAACCAUUAUGGUAUGACAAUUAUCCUCCCAAAGUCAAGAUUCGCAUCUUCCAAGUCUUCAAUGUUUGUCGACAUUUGUGGAAGACAUAAACAGGCCUCUAUCAACCACCAGGGUUCUUAGCUUUAUGUCCUUUUCCACAAAAAGACAGUCUUAAGUACUAUUUUUUCAAACUCAGACUUUAGAAUUAUUAUUUUGGUACCACCGGUUCUUAUCUUUAUGCCCUUUUCCACACAAUGUCCCUCGAUAGAAAAGGACUAUUAGCAAAUUUAGCAUUAUUAUUUUGGUGCGUAUACUGUUUGGCCUGACAAUUGAUUACUUUACAAUUUACAUGGGUGAUUGGAGAUUGUUAGUAUUGCUGAAAGCAAUACAUACUGUUUGUCUCUCCGAUUCCGGUUGCUUAGGCAACAAGGUUAUAAGGUUUCAUGCGGUUAGUCUGCGGUCACGCGUUUGUUUAUAAUUCUAGCUAGAUUAAUUAAUUCUAAUUUCUUCCUCUAAUCUUGUAAUAAUAUUAAUGCAUGUGCUGAUGGGGCUAGCAGACAUGUUCAACAAAUUCAAAGACGAGGACGGGAGGUUUGAGGAGACACUUGUGAGUGAUGUAGUAGGGCUGCUAAGCUUGUACGAAGCCACACAUCUCAGGAUGCAUGGAGAGGAUUUACUAGAUGAAGCGCUUGCCUUCACCACCACACAUCUAACUACGGUGGUUGAAACGCAGCGUUUAAGCCCCUCACUUGCGAAACAAGUAACUCAUGCCUUGUACCAACCAUUCUGGAAGGGCUUCACAAGGCUGGAAGCAAGGAUUUACUUGUCCAUCUAUGAGGAGGAAGGCCACUCACAAAAUGAAACUCUCCCAACUUAGUGCAGCAAGUCCAUCAGAAAGAACUAAGUGAAAUUACAAGGUUAAUUAACUACAUUAAGUGAAAUGCUAAUUAAUUCAAAGUUAAUGAUUAUUAAUUGUAAUUAAUUGAGAUUUAUUCAGGUUGUGGAAGGACUUGGACUUUGUAAACAAGCUGCCCUUUGCAAGAGACAGAAUAGUUGAGAGCUACUUUUGGGCUUUGGGAGUUUACUUUGAGCCUGAAUAUUACUUUGCUAGGAUGAUAUUGGCCAAAGUUAUUGCUUUGAUAACC